AUGAGAAAGAAUUUAAUCUCUGUUUCUAGACUGGAAUCUAUAGGUUUUAAGGUCUUAUUUGGAGAUGGCAAAGUUAAAAUACUGAUGAAUGGAAAUUUAGUUCAAUCAGGAAAUAGAUUUGAUGGUCUCUACUAUAUUGAGGAUUUUAUGGACAUCGAUAGGAUGGACUGUAUGGUCAAUGAACAGAACUCGGUAGUGAGGAAUAUAGAUGGAAGCAAUAAUUGUUCAGAAUCAUAUCUCUGGCAUCUUCGUUUGGGUCAUAUCUCAAAGAACAGAAUUAAAAGGCUAAUUAGUUCUGGAAUUUUAAACUUCAAGUGGGAAGACUACGGCAUUUGUGAGGCAUGUGUUGUAGGAAAAAUGACCAGGGUGCCUUUUCCUAAAGCGUCAAGGUCUACUGAACCACUUGCUAUUGUUCAUUCAGAUAUUUGUGGUGAGAUGUCUGUACCUACAUUUGGGCAGAAGGUCUAUUUCAUUACUUUUAUAGAUGAUUUCUCUAGAUACGGCUAUGUUUACUUAAUUAAGCAUAAGUCGAAAGGUUUUGACAUGUUCAAGUUAUUUAAAGCCGAGGUAGAAAAUCAGUUGAACAAAAAGAUCAAGGUGCUUAGAACUGAUCGUGGUGGUGAAUACACAUCAGGAAUAUUAGAUGAUUUUUGCAAGGAAAAUGGAAUUAUUCACCAUUAUACCUUACCAUAUACUCCUGAACAAAAUGGCGUAGCUGAAAGGAGGAAUAGAACUUUAAUGGACAUGGUUAGGUCUAUGAUGGCAUAUUCAGAUCUUCCUUUAUCAUUUUGGGGAGAGGCUCUUCAUACUGCUGUUUACUUGCUUAAUCAUUCACCUUCUAAAUAUGUUAGUUCUACUCCUUAUGAAUUAUGGAAAGGGAGGAAACCUACAUUGUUGAACUUAGCAGUGUGGGGAUGCAAUGCACAGAUUAGAGUACCUAGUCAACUAAGAACAAAACUGGAACCUAAGAGUUUUCCAGGAAUAUUUAUUGGAUAUGCUUCUGGUUCAAAUGGAUAUAGAUUUUAUGAUCCAGAGAGGAAGAAGUUAAUUGAAAGUAGAGAUGCCAUUUUUCUAGAUCAAGAUACACCUCGCCGUGCAAAACGUGCGAGAGUGGAAUUAUUGACAAACCCGUUAGAUACAAGUGUUGAAACUGAUUCUAACAAUUAG
rnacentral:rRNA from 1 species